rnacentral:rRNA from 1 species
UGCAAACUGCGAAUACCGGAGAAUGUUAUCACGGGAGACACACGGCGGGUGCUAACGUCCGUCGUGAAGAGGGAAACAACCCAGACCGCCAGCUAAGGUCCCAAAGUCAUGGUUAAGUGGGAAACGAUGUGGGAAGGCCCAGACAGCCAGGAUGUUGGCUUAGAAGCAGCCAUCAUUUAAAGAAAGCGUAAUAGCUCACUGGUCGAGUCGGCCUGCGCGGAAGAUGUAACGGGGCUAAACCAUGCACCGAAGCUGCGGCAGCGACACUAUGUGUUGUUGGGUAGGGGAGCGUUCUGUAAGCCUGUGAAGGUGGCCUGUGAGGGUUGCUGGAGGUAUCAGAAGUGCGAAUGCUGACAUAAGUAACGAUAAAGCGGGUGAAAAGCCCGCUCGCCGGAAGACCAAGGGUUCCUGUCCAACGUUAAUCGGGGCAGGGUGAGUCGACCCCUAAGGCGAGGCCGAAAGGCGUAGUCGAUGGGAAACAGGUUAAUAUUCCUGUACUUGGUGUUACUGCGAAGGGGGGACGGAGAAGGCUAUGUUGGCCGGGCGACGGUUGUCCCGGUUUAAGCGUGUAGGCUGGUUUUCCAGGCAAAUCCGGAAAACCAAGGCUGAGGCGUGAUGA